rnacentral:rRNA from 1 species
GUUUGAUCCUGGCUCAGAGCGAACGCUGGCGGCAGGCCUAACACAUGCAAGUCGAACGGACCCUUCGGGGUUAGUGGCGGACGGGUGAGUAACACGUGGGAACGUGCCUUUAGGUUCGGAAUAGCUCCUGGAAACGGGUGGUAAUGCCGAAUGUGCCCUUCGGGGGAAAGAUUUAUCGCCUUUAGAGCGGCCCGCGUCUGAUUAGCUAGUUGGUGAGGUAAAGGCUCACCAAGGCUACGAUCAGUAGCUGGUCUGAGAGGAUGACCAGCCACAUUGGGACUGAGACACGGCCCAAACUCCUACGGGAGGCAGCAGUGGGGAAUCUUGCGCAAUGGGCGAAAGCCUGACGCAGCCAUGCCGCGUGAAUGAUGAAGGUCUUAGGAUUGUAAAAUUCUUUCAGUAGGGACGAUAAUGACGGUACCUACAGAAGAAGCCCCGGCUAACUUCGUGCCAGCAGCCGCGGUAAUACGAAGGGGGCUAGCGUUGCUCGGAAUUACUGGGCGUAAAGGGAGCGUAGGCGGACAUUUAAGUCAGGGGUGAAAUCCCAGAGCUCAACUCUGGAACUGCCUUUGAUACUGGGUGUCUUGAGUGUGAUAGAGGUAUGUGGAACUCCGAGUGUAGAGGUGAAAUUCGUAGAUAUUCGGAAGAACACCAGUGGCGAAGGCGACAUACUGGAUCAUUACUGACGCUGAGGCUCGAAAGCGUGGGGAGCAAACAGGAUUAGAUACCCUGGUAGUCCACGCCGUAAACGAUGAUUGCUAGUUGUCGGGAUGUUUACAUCUCGGUGACGCAGCUAGCGCAUUAAGCAAUCCGCCUGGGGAGUACGGUCGCAAGAUUAAAACUCAAAGGAAUUGACG